UGGCCAUUUUUCCGCUGGGGGGUCUUGGGACCCCGAACUUCGGGGGCUGUUUUUUGGGUGUGGCUGUUCCCAUGGCCUAUUUUUGGCACACGGAGGCCUACCGCCAAGUCUGGUGCCAUUCCGAGUCCCGCGGACGAACUUCGCCCACGCCCCCCACCAAGGCUAUAGCCCACCCGUUUUUUGGCCAUUUUUCCGCUGGGGGGUCUUGGGACCCCGACCUUCGGGGGCUGUUUUUUGGGCGCGGCUGUGCCCGUGGCCUAUUUUUGGCACACGGAGGCCGCCCGUCAAGUCUGGUGCUAUUCCGAGUCCCGCGGACGAACUUCGCCCACGCCCCCCACCAAGGCUAUAGCCCACCCGUUUUUUGGCCAUUUUUCCGCUGGGGGGUCUUGGGACCCCGACCUUCGGGGGCUGUUUUUUGGGCGCGGCUGUGCCCGUGGCCUAUUUUUGGCACACGGAGGCCGCCCGUCAAGUCUGGUGCUAUUCCGAGUCCCGCGGACGAACUUUGCCCACGCCCCCCACCAAGGCUAUAGCCCACCCGUUUUUUGGCCAUUUUUCCGCUGGGGAGUCUUGGGACCCCGACCUUCGGGGGCUGAUUUUUGGGCGCGGCUGUGCCCGUGGCCUAUUUUUGGCACACGGAGGCAGCCCGCCAAGUCUGGUCCCAUUCCGUGUCCCGCGGACGAACUUCGCCCACGUCCCCCACCAAGGCUAUAGCCCACCCGUUUUUUGGCCAUUUUUCCGCUGGGGGAUCUUGGGACCCCGAACUUUGGGGGCUGUUUUUUGGGCGUGGCUGUGCCCAUGGCCAAUUUUUGGCACACGGAGGCCUACCGCCAAGUCUGGUGCCAUUCCGAGUCUCGUGGACGAACUUCGCCCACGCCACCCACCAAGGCUAUAGCCCACCCGUUUUUUGGCCAUAUAGCCUUGCUGGGGGGUCUUGGCACCCCGACCUUCGGGGGCUGAUUUUUGGGCGCGGCUGUGCCCGUGGCCUAUUUUUGGCGCACGGAGACCGCCCGCAAAGUCUGGGGCCAUUCCGAGUCCGGCGGACGAACUUCGCCCACGCCCCCCACCAAGGCUAUAGCCCACCCGUUUUUUGGCCAUAUAGCCUUGCUGGGGGGUCUUGGCACCCCGACCUUCGGGGGCUGAUUUUUGGGCGCGGCUGUGCCCGUGGCCUAUUUUUGGCGCACGGAGACCGCCCGCAAAGCCUGGGGCCAUUCCGAGUCCGGCGGACGAACUUCGCCCGCGCCCCCCACCAAGGCUAUAGCACACCCGUUUUUUGGCCAUAUAGCCUUGCUGGGGGGUCUUGGCACCCCGACCUUCGGGGGCUGAUUUUUGGGCGCGGCUGUGCCCGUGGCCUAUUUUUGGCGUACGGAGGCCGCCCGCAAAGUCUGGGGCCAUUCCGAGUCCGGCGGACGAACUUCGCCCGCGCCCCCCACCAAGGCAAUAGCCCACCCGUUUUUUGGCCAUUUUUCCGCUGGGGGUCUUGGCACCCCGACCUUCGGGGGCUGAUUUUUGGGCGCGGCUGUGCCCGUGGCCUAUUUUUGGCACACGGAGGCCGCCCGCAAAGUCUGGGGCCAUUCCCAGUCCGGUGGACGAACUUCGCCCCCGCCCCCCACCAGGCAAUAACCCACCCGUUUNNNNNNNNNNNNNNNNNNNNNNNNNNNNNNNNNNNNNNNNNNNNNNNNNNNNNNNNNNNNNNNNNNNNNNNNNNNNNNNNNNNNNNNNNNNNNNNNNNNNNNNNNNNNNNNNNNNNNNNNNNNNNNNNNNNNNNNNNNNNNNNNNNNNNNNNNNNNNNNNNNNNNNNNNNNNNNNNNNNNNNNNNNNNNNNNNNNNNNNNNNNNNNNNNNGGACCCCGAACUUCGGGGGCUGUUUUUUGGGCGUGGCUGUGCCCAUGGCCUAUUUUUGGCACACGGAGGCCUACCGCCAAGUCUGGUGCCAUUCCGAGUCCCGCGGACGAACUUCGCCCACGCCCCCCACCAAGGCUAUAGCCCACCCGUUUUUUGGCCAUUUUUCCUCUGGGGGGUCUUGGGACCCCGACCUUCGGGGGCUGUUUUUUGGGUGCGGCUGUGCCCGUGGCCUAUUUUUGGCACACGGAGGCAGCCCGCCAAGUCUGGUCCUAUUCCGUGUCCCGCGGACGAACUUCGCCCACGUCCCCCACCAAGGCUAUAGCCCACCCGUUUUUUGGCCAUUUUUCCGCUGGGGGAUCUUGGGACCCCGAACUAGGGGGCUGUUUUUUGGGCGUGGCUGUGCCCAUGGCCUAUUUUUGGCACACGGAGGCCUACCGCCAAGUCUGGUGCCAUUCCGAGUCUCGUGGACGAACUUCGCCCACACCACCCACCAAGGCUAUAGCCCACCCGUUUUUUGGCCAUAUAGCCUUGCUGGGGGGUCUUGGCACCCCGACCUUCGGGGGCUGAUUUUUGGGCGCGGCUGUGCCCGUGGCCUAUUUUUGGCGCACGGAGACCGCCCGCAAAGUCUGGGGCCAUUCCGAGUCCGGCGGACGAACUUCGCCCACGCCCCCCACCAAGGCUAUAGCCCACCCGUUUUUUGGCCAUAUAGCCUUGCUGGGGGGUCUUGGCACCCCGACCUUCGGGGGCUGAUUUUUGGGCGCGGCUGUGCCCGUGGCCUAUUUUUGGCGCACGGAGACCGCCCGCAAAGCCUGGGGCCAUUCCGAGUCCGGCGGACGAACUUCGCCCGCGCCCCCCACCAAGGCUAUAGCACACCCGUUUUUUGGCCAUAUAGCCUUGCUGGGGGGUCUUGGCACCCCGACCUUCGGGGGCUGAUUUUUGGGCGCGGCUGUGCCCGUGGCCUAUUUUUGGCGUACGGAGGCCGCCCGCAAAGUCUGGGGCCAUUCCGAGUCCGGCGGACGAACUUCGCCCGCGCCCCCCACCAAGGCAAUAGCCCACCCGUUUUUUGGCCAUUUUUCCGCUGGGGGGUCUUGGCACCCCGACCUUCGGGGGCUGAUUUUUGGGCGCGGCUGUGCCCGUGGCCUAUUUUUGGCACACGGAAGCCGCCCGCAAAGUCUGGGGCCAUUCCGAGUCCGGCGGAUGAACAUCGCCCGCGCCCCCCACCAAGGCAAUAGCCCACCCGUUUUUUGGCCAUUUUUCCACUGGGGGGUUUGGCACCCCGAUCUUCGGGGGCUGAUUUUUGGGCGCGGCUGUGCCCGUAGCCUAUUUUUGGCACCCGGAGGCCGCCCGCAAAGGCAGGGGCCAUUCCGAGUCCGGCGGGCGAACUUCGCCCACGCCCCCCACCAAGGCUAUAGCCCACCCGUUUUUUGGCCAUAUAGCCUUGCUGGGGGGUCUUGGCACCCCAACCUUCGGGGGCUGAUUUUUGGGCGGGGCUGUGCCCAUGACCUAUUUUUGGCACACGGAGGCCGCCCGCAAAGUCUGGGGCCAUUCCGAGUCCGGCGGACGAACAUCGCCCACGCCCCCCACGAAGGCUAUAGCCCACCCGUUUUUUGGCCAUAUAGCCUUGCUGGGGGGUCUUGGCACCCCGACCUUCGGGGGCUGAUAUUUGGGCGCGGCUGUGCCCGUGGCCUAUUUUUGGCACACGGAGGCCGCCCGCAAAGUCCGGGCCAUUCCGAGUCCGGCGGACGAACUUCGCCAACGCCCCCCACCAAGGCUAUAGCCCAGCCUAUUUUUGUCAAUAUAGCCUUGCUGGGGGGUCUUGGUACCCCGACCUUCGGGGGCUGGUUUUGGGCGCGGCUGUGCCCGUGGCCUAUUUUUGGCGCACGGAGGCCGCGCGCAAAGUCUGGGGCCAUUCCGAGUCCGGCGGACAAACUUCGCCCGCGCCCCCCACCAAGGCAAUAGCCCACCCGUUUUUUGGCCAUUUUUCCGCUGGGGGGUCUUGGCACCCCGACCUUCGGGGGCUGAUUUUUUGGUGCAGCUGUGCCCGUGGCCUAUUUUUGGCAGACGGAGGCCGCCCGCAAAGUCUGGGGCCAUUCCGAGUCCGGCGGACGAACUUCGCCGACGCCCCCCACCAAGGCUAUAGCCCACCCGUUUUUUGGCCAUUUUUCCGCUGGGGGGUCUUGGUACCCCGAUCUUCGGGGGCUGAUUUUUGGGCGCGGCUAUGCCCGUAGCCUAUUUUGGGCACACGGAUGCCACCCGUAAAGUCUGGGGCCAUUCCGAGCCCGGCGGACGAACUUCGCCCACGCCCCCCACCAAGGCUAUAGCCCACCCUUUUUUUGGCCAUAUAGCCUUGCUGGGGGGUCUUGGCACCCCGACCUUCGGGGGCUGAUUUUUGGUGGCGGCUGUGCCCGUGGCCUAUUUUUGGCGCACGGCGGCCGCCCGCAAAGUCUGGGGCCAUUCCGAGUCCGACGGACGAACUUCGCCGACGCCCCCCACCAAGGCUAUAGCCCACCCGUUUUUUGGCCAUAUAGCCUAGCUGGGGGGUCUUGGCACCCCGACCUUCGGGGGCUGAUUUUUCGGCACGGCUGUGCCCGUGGCCUAUUUUUGGCACACGGAGGCCGCCCGCAAAGUCUGGGGCCAUUCCGAGUCCGGCGGACGAACUUCGCCCGCGCCCCCCACCAAGGCAAUAGCCCACCCAUUUUUUGGCCAUUUUUCCGCUGGGGGGUCUUGGCACCCCGAUCUUCGGGGGCUGAUUUUUGGGAGCGGCUAUGCCCGUAGCCUAUUUUGGGCACACGGAUGCCACCCGCAAAGUCUGGGGCCAUUCCGAGUCCGGCGGACGAACUUCGCCCACGCCCCCCACCAAGGCUAUUGCCCACCCGUUUUUUGGCCAUAUAGCCUUGCUGGGGGGUCUUGGCACCCCGACCUUCGGGGGCUGAUUUUUGGGCGCGGCUGUGUCCGUGGCCUAUUUUUGGCGCACGGAGGCCGCCCGCAAAGUCUGGGGCCAUUCCGAGUCCGGCGGACGAACUUCGCCCACGCCCCCCAUCAAGGCUAUAGCCCACCUGUUUUUUGGCCAUAUAGCCUUGCUGGGGGGUCUUGGCACCCCGACCUUCGGGGGCUGAUUUUUGGGCGCGGCUGUGCCCGUGGCCUAUUUUUGGCGCACGGAGACCGCCCGCAAAGUCUGGGGCCAUUCCGAGUCCGGCGGACGAACUUCGCCCGCGCCCCCCACCAAGGCUAUAGGCCACCCGUUUUUUGGCCAUAUAGCCUUGCUGGGGGGUCUUGACACCCCGACCUUCGGGGGCUGAUUUUGGGUGCGGCUGUGCCCGUGGCCUAUUUUUGGCACACGGAGGCCGCCCGCAAAGUCUGGGGCCAUUCCGAGUCCGGCGGACGAACUUCGCCCGCGCCCCCCACCAAGGCUAUAGCCCACCCGUUUUUUGCCCAUAUAGCCUUGCUGGGGGGUCUUGGCACCCCGACCUUCGGGGGCUGAUUUUUGGGCGCGACUGUGCCCGUGGCCUAUUUUUUGCACCCGGAAGCCGCCCGCAAAGUCUGGGGCCAUUCCGAGUCCGGCGGACGAACUUCGCCCACGCCCCCCACCAAGGCUAUAGCCCACCCGUUUUUUGGCCAUUUUUCCGCUGGGGGGUCUUGGCACCCCGACCUUCGGGGGCUGAUUUUUGGGCGCGGCUGUGCCUGUGGCCUAUUUUUGGCGCACGGAGGCCGCCCGCAAAGUCUGUGGACAUUCCGAGUCCGGUGGACGAACUUCGCCCGCUGCCCCCACCAAGGCAAUAGCCCACCCAUUUUUUGGCCAUUUUUCCGCUGGGGGGUGUUGGCACCCCGACCUUCGGGGGCUUGUUUUUCGGCGCGGCUGUGCCCGUGGCCUAGUUUUGGCACACGGAGGCCGGCCACACAGUCUGGGGCCAUUCCGAGUUCGGCGGACGAACUUCGCCGACGCCCCCCACCAAGGCUAUAGCCCACCCGUUUUUUGGCCAUUUUACCGCUGGGGGUCUUGGCACCCCGAUCUUCGGGGGCUGAUUUUUGGGCGCGGCUGUGCCCGUGGCCUAUUUUUGGCACACGGAGGCCGCCCGCAAAGUUUGGGGCCAUUCCGAGUCCGGCGGACGAACUUCGCCCACGCCCCCCACCAAGGCUAUAGCCCACCCAUUUUUUGGCCAUAUAGCCUUGCUGGGGGGUCUUGGUACCCCGACCUUCGGGGGCUGAUUUUUGGGCGCGGCUGUGCCCGUGGCCUAUUUUUGGCACACGGAGGCCGCCCGAAAAGUCUGGGGCCAUUCCGAGUCCCGCGGACGAACUUCGCCCGCGGCCCCCACCAAGGCAAUAGCCCACCCGUUUUUUGGCCAUUUUUCCGCUGGGGGGUCUUGGCAGCCCGACCUUUGGGGGCUGAUUUUUGGGCGCGGCUGUGCCUGUGGCCUAUUUUUGGCACACGGAGGCCGCCCGCAAAGUCUGGGGCCAUUCCGAGUCUGGCGGACGAACUUCGCCCACGCCCCCCACCAAGGCUAUAGCCCACCCGUUUUUUGGCCAUAUAGCCUUGCUGGGGGGUCUUGGCACCCCGACCUUCGGGGGCUGAUUUUUGGGCGUGGCUGUGCCCGUGGCCUAUUUUGGCACACUGUGGCCGCUCGCAAAGUCUNNNNNNNNNNNNNNNNNNNNNNNNNNNNNNNNNNNNNNNNNNNNNNNNNNNNNNNNNNNNNNNNNNNNNNNNNNNNNNNNNNNNNNNNNNNNNNNNNNNNNNNNNNNNNNNNNNNNNNNNNNNNNNNNNNNNNNNNNNNNNNNNNNNNNNNNNNNNNNNNNNNNNNNNNNNNNNNNNNNNNNNNNNNNNNNNNNNNNNNNNNNNNNNNNNNNNNNNNNNNNNNNNNNNNNNNNNNNNNNNNNNNNNNNNNNNNNNNNNNNNNNNNNNNNNNNNNNNNNNNNNNNNNNNNNNNNNNNNNNNNNNNNNNNNNNNNNNNNNNNNNNNNNNNNNNNNNNNNUGGCACCCGGAAGCCGCCCGCAAAGUCUGGGGCCAUUCCGAGUCCGGCGGACGAACUUCGCCCACGCCCCCCACCAAGGCUAUAGCCCACCCGUUUUUUGGCCAUUUUACCGCUGGGGGUCUUGGCACCCCGAUCUUCGGGGGCUGAUUUUUGGGCGCGGCUGUGCCCGUGGCCUAUUUUUGGCACACGGAGACCGCCCGCAAAGUCUGUGGACAUUCCGAGUCCGGUGGACGAACUUCGCCCGCUGCCCCCACCAAGGCAAUAGCCCACCCGUUUUUUGGCCAAUGUUCCGCUGGGGGGUCUUGGCACCCCGACCUUCGGGGGCUGGUUUUUCGGCGCGGCUGUUCCCGUGGCCUAGUUUUGGCACACGGAGGCCGGCCACACAGUCUGGGGCCAUUCCGAAUCCGGCGGACGAACUUCGCCCGCUGCCCCCACCAAGGCUAUAGCCCACCCGUUUUUUGGCCAUUUUACCGCUGGGGGUCUUGGCACCCCGAUCUUCGGGGGCAGAUUUUUGGGCGCGGCUGUGCCCGUGGCCUAUUUUUGGCACACGGAGACCGCCCGCAAACUCUGGGGAUAUUCCGAGUCCGGCGGACGAACUUCGCCCACGCCCCCCACCAAGGCUGUAGCCCACACGUUUUUUGGGCAUUUUUCGGCUGGGGGGUGUUGGCGCCCCGACUUUCGGGUGCUCAUUUUUGGGCGCGGCUGUGCCCGUGGCCUAUUUUUGGCACACGGAGGCCGCCCGCAAAGUCUGGGGCCAUUCCGAGUCCGGCGGACGAACUUCGCCCACGCCCCCCACCAAGGCUAUAGCACACCCGUAUCUUGGCCAUUUUUCCGGUGGGAGGUGUUGGCGCCCCGACCUUCGGGCGCUCAUUUUUGGGCGCGGCUGUGCCCGUGGCCUAUUUUUGGCACACGGAGGUCGCCUGCAAAGUCUGGGGCCAUUCCGAGUCCGGCGGACGAACUUCGCCCACGCCCCCCGCCAAGGCUAUAGCCCACCCGUUUUUUGGCCAUUUUCCGCUGGGGGGUGUUGGCGCCCCGACCUUCCGGCACUCAUUUUUGAACGCGGCUGUGCCCGUGGCCUAUUUUUGGCACACGGAGGCCGCCCGCAAAGUCUGGGGCCAUUCCUAGUCCGGCGGACGAACUUCUCCCCUGCCCCCACCAAGGCUAUAGCACACCCGUUUCUUGGCCAUUUUUCCGCUGGGGGGUGUUGGCGCCCCGACCUUCGGGCGCUCAUUUUUGGGACCUGCUGUGCCCGUGGCCUAUUUUUGGCACACGGAGGCCGCCCGCAAAGUCUGGGGCCAUUCCGAGUCCGGCUGACGAACUUCGCCCACGCCCCCCACCAAGGCAAUAUCCCACCCGUUUUUUGGCCAUUGUUCCGCUGGGGGGUCUUGCCUCCCCGACCUUCGGGGGCUGAUUCUUGGGCGCGGCUGUGCCCGUGGCCUAUUUUUGGCACACGGAGGCCGACCGCAAAGUCUGGGGCCAUUCCGAGUCCGGCGAACGAACUUCGCCCGCGCCCCCCACCAAGGCAAUAGCCCACCCAUUUUUUGGCCAUUUUUCCGCUUGGGGGUCUUGGCACCUCGACCUUCGGGGGCUGAUUUUUGGGGGCGGCUGUGCCCGUGGCCUAUUUUUGGCACACGGAGGCCGCCCGCAAAGUCUGGGGCCAUUCCGAGUCCGGCGGAUGAACUUCGCCCACGCCCCCCACCAAGGCUCUAGCCCACCCGUUUUUUGGCCAUAUAGCCUUGCUGGGGGGUCUUGGCACCCCGACCUUCGGGGGCUGAUUUUUCGGCGCGGCUGUGCCCGUGGCCUAUUUUUGGCACACGGAGGCUGGCCGCAAAGUCUGGGCCCAUUCCGAGUCCGGCGGACGAACUUCGCCGACGCGCCCCACCAAGGCUAUAGCCCACCCGUUUUUUGGCCAUUUUUCCGCUGGGGGGUCUUGGCACUCCGAUCUUCGGGGGCUGAUUUUUGGGCGCGGCUGUGCCCGUGGCUUAUUUUUGGCACACGGAGACCGCCUGCAAAGUCUGGGGCCAUUCCGAGUCUGGCGGACGAACUUCGCCCGCGCCCCCCACCAAGGCAAUAGCCCACCCGUUUUUUGGCCAUUGUUCCGCUGGGGGGUCUUGGCACCCCGACCUUCGGGGGCUGAUUUUUGGGCGCGGUUGUGCCCGUGGCCUAUUUUUGGCACACGAAGGCCGCCCGCAAAGUCUGGGGCCAUUUCGAGUCCGGCGAACGAACUUCUCCCACGGCCCCCGCCAAGGCAAUAGNNNNNNNNNNNNNNNNNNNNNNNNNNNNNNNNNNNNNNNNNNNNNNNNNNNNNNNNNNNNNNNNNNNNNNNNNNNNNNNNNNNNNNNNNNNNNNNNNNNNGCCAUUUUUCCGCCGGGGGGUCUUGGCACCCCGACCGUCGGGGACUGAUUUUUGGACGCGGCUGUGCCCGUGGCCUAUUUUGGGCACACGGAGGCCACCCGCAAAGUCUGGGGCCAUUUCGAGUCCGGCGGACGAACUUCGCCCACGCCCCCCACCAAGGCUAUAGCCCACCCGUUUUUUGGCCAUAUAGCCUUGCUGGGGGGUCUUGGCACCCCGACCUUCGGGGGUUGAUUUUUAGUGGUGGCUAUGCCCGUGGCCUAUUUUUGGCGCACGGCGGCCGCCCGCAAAGUCUGGGGCCAUUCCGAGUCCGGCGGACGAACUUCGCCCACGCCCCCCACCAAUGCUAUAGCCCACCCGUUUUUUCGCCAUAUAGCCUUGCUGGGGGGGUCUUGGCACCCCGACCUUUGGGGGCUGAUUUUUCGGCGCGGCUGUGCCCGUGGCCUAUUUUUGGCACACGGAGGCCGGCCGCAAAGUCUGGGCCCAUUCCGAGUCCGGCGGACGCACUUCGCCGACGCCCCCCACCAAGGCUAUAGCCCACCCGUUUUUUGGCCAUUUUUCCGCUGGGGGGUGUUGGCGCCCCGACCUUCGGGCGCUCAUUUUUGGGCACGGCUGUGCCCGUGGCCUAUUUUUGGCACACGGAGGCCGCCCGCAAAGUCUGGGGCCAUUCCAAGUCCGGCGGACGAACUUCGCCCACGCCCCCCACCAAGGCUAUAGCACACCCGUUUCUUGGCCAUUUUUCCGCUGGGGGGUGUUGGCGCCCCGACCUUCGGGCGCUCAUUUUUGGGCGCGGCUGUGCCCGUGGCCUAUUUUUGGAACACGGAGGCUGCCCGCAAAGUCUGGGGCCAUUUCGAGUCCAGCGGACGAACUUCGCCCACGCCCCCCGCCAAGGCUAUAGCCCACCGGUUUUUUGGCCAUUUUUCCGCUGGGGGGUGUUGGCGUCCCGACCUUCGGGCGCUCAUUUUUGGGCGCGGCUGUGCCCAUGGCCUAUUUUUGGGACACGGAGGCCGGCCGCAAAGUCUGGGGCCAUUCCGACUCCGGCGGACGAACUUCGCCCACGCCGCCCACCAAGGCUAUAGCACAUCCGUUUCUUGGCCAUUUUUCCGCAGGGGGGUGUUGGCGCCCCGACCAUCGGGCUCUCAUUUUUGGGCGCGGCUGUGCCCGUGGCCUAUUUUUGGCACACGGAGGCCGCCCGCAAAGUCUGGGGCCAUUCCGAGUCCGGCGGACGAACUUCGCCCACGCCCCCCGCCAAGGCUAUAGCCCACCGGUUUUUUGGCCAUUUUUCCGCUGGGGGUUGUUGGCGCCCCGACAUUCGGGCUCUCAUUUUUGGGCGCGGCUGUGCCCGUGUCCUAUUUUUGGCACACGGAGGCCGCCCGCAAAGUCUGGGGCCAUUCCGAGUCCGGCGGACGAACUUCGCCCACACCCCCCGCCAAGGUUAUAGCCCACCGGUUUUUUGGCCAUUUUUCCGCUGGGGGUUGUUGUUACCCCGACCUUCGGGCGCUCAUUUUUGGGCGCGGCUGUGCCCGUGGCCUAUUUUUAGCACACGGAGGCCGCCCGCAAAGUUUGGGGCCAUUCCGAGUCCGGCGGACGAACUUCGCCCACGCCUCCCGCCAAGGCUAUAGCCCACCGGUUUUUUGGCCAUUUUUCUGCUGGGGGGUGUUGGCGCCCCGACCUUCGGGCGCUCAUUUUUGGGCGCGGCUGUGCCCGUGGCCUAUUUUUAGCACACGGAGGCCGCCCGCAAAGUUUGGNNNNNNNNNNNNNNNNNNNNNNNNNNNNNNNNNNNNNNNNNNNNNNNNNNNNNNNNNNNNNNNNNNNNNNNNNNNNNNNNNNNNNNNNNNNNNNNNNNNNGGUGUUGGCGCCCCGACCUUCGGGCUCUCAUUUUUGGGCACGGCUGUGCCCGUGGUUUAUUUUUGGAACACGGAGGCCACCCGCAAAGUCUGGGGCCAUUCCGAGUCCGGCGGACGAACUUCGCCCACGCCCCCCACCAAGACUAUAGCACACCCGUUUCUUGGCUAUUUUUCUGCUGGGGGGUGUUGGCGCCCCGACCUUCGGGCGCUCAUUUUUGCGCGCGGCUGUGCCCGUGGCCUAUUUUUGGCACACGGAGGUCGCCUGCAAAGCCUGGGGCCAUUCCGAGUCCGGCGGACGAACUUCGCCCACGCCCCCCGCCAAGGCUAUAGCCCACCGGUUUUUUGGCCAUUUUUCCGCUGGGGGGUGUUGGCGCCCCGACCUUCGGGCACUCAGUUUUGAACGCGGCUGUUCCCGUGGCCUAUUUUUGGCACACGGAGGCCGCCCGCAAAGUCUGGGGCCAUUCCGAGUCCGGCGGACGAACUUCGCCCCCGCCCCCCACCAAGGCUAUAGCACACCCGUUUCUUGGCCAUUUUUCCGCUGGGGGGUGUUGGCGCCCCGACCUUCGGGCGCUCAUUUUUGGGCGCGGCUGUGCCCGUGGCCUAUUUUUGGAACACGGAGGCCGCCCGCAAAGUCUGGGGCCAUUCCGAGUCCGGCGGACGAACUUCGCCCACGCCCCCCACCAAGGCUCUAGCCCACCCGUUUCUUGGCCAUUUUUCCGCUGGGGGGUGUUGGCCCCCGACCUUCCGACGCUCAGUUUUGGGUGCGGCUGUGCCCGUGGCCUAUUUUUGGUACACGGAGGCCGCCCGCAAAGUGUGGGGCCAUUCCGAGUCCGGCGGACGAACUUCGCCCACGCCCCCCGCCAAGGCUAUAGCCCACCCGUCUUUUGGCCAUUUUUCCGCUGCGGGGUGUUGGCGCCCCCGACCUUCGGGCGCUCAUUUUUGGGCGCGGCUGUGCCCGUGGCCUAUUUUUGGCAAACGGAGGCCGCCCGCAAACUCUGGGGCCAUUCGGAGUCCGGCGGACGAUCUUCGCCCACGCCCCCCACCAAGGCUAUAGCACACCCGUUUCUUGGCCAUUUUUCCGCUGGGGGGUGUUGGCGCCCCGACCUUCGGGCGCUCAUUUUUGCGCGCGGCUGUGCCCGUGGCCUAUUUUUGGCACACGGAGGUCGCCUGCAAAGCCUGGGGCCAUUCCGAGGCCGGUGGACGAACUUCACCCAUGCCCCCCACCAUGGCUAUUGCCAACCCGUUUUUUGGCCAUUUUUCCGCUGGGGGGUGUUGGCGCCCCGACCUUCGGGCGCUCAUUUUUGGGCGCGGCUGUGCCCGUGGCCUAUUUUUGGCACACGGAGGCCGCCCGCAAAGUCUGGGGCCAUUCCGAGUCCGGCGGACGAACUUCGCCCACGCCCCCCACCAAGGCGAUAGCCCACAAGUUUUUUGGCCAUUUUUCCGCUGGGGGGUGUUGGCGCCCCGACCUUCGGGCGCUCAUUUUUGGGCGCGGCUGUGCCCGUGGCCUAUUUUUGGCACACGGAGGCCGCCCGCAAAGUCUGGGGCCAUUCCGAGUGCGGCGGACGAACUUCGCCCACGCCCCCCACCAAGGCUCUAGCCCACCCGUUUUUUGGCCAUUUUUCCGCUGGGGGGUGUUGGCCCCCGACCUUCGGACGCUCAGUUUUGGGCGCGGCUGUGCCCGUGGCCUAUUUUUGGCACACGGAGGCCGCCCGCAAAGUCUGGGGCCAUUCCGAAUCUGGCGGACGAACUUCGCCCACGCCCCCCGCCAAGGCUAUAGCCCACCCGUUUUUUGGCCAUUUUUCCGCUGGGGGGUGGUGGCGCCCCGACCUUCGGGCGCUCAUUUUUGGGCGCGGCAUUGCCCGUGGCUUAUUUUUGGCAGCGGCUGUGCCCGUGGCCUAUUUUUGGCACACGGAGGCCGCCUGCAAAGUCUGGGGCCAUUCCGAGUCCGGCGGACGAACUUCGCCCAUGCCCCCCACCAAGGCUAUAGCCCACCCGUUUUUUGGCCAUUUUUCCGCAGGGGGGUGUUGGCGCCCCGACCUUCGGGCGCUCAUUUUUGGGCGCGGCAGUGCCCGUGGCUUAUUUUUGCCACACGGAGGCCGCCUGCAAAGUCUGGGGCCAUACCAAGUGCGGCGGACGAACUUCGCCCACGCCCCCCGCCAAGGCUAUAGCACACCCGUUUCUUGGCCAUUUUUCCGCUGGGGGGUGUUGGCGCCCCGACCUUCGGGCGCUCAUUUUUGGGCGCGGCUGUGCCCGUGGCCUAUUUUUGGCACACGGAGGCCGCCCGCAAAGUCUGGGGCCAUUCCGAGUCCGGCGGACGAACUUCGCCCACGCCCCCCACCAAGGCUAUAGCCCACCCGUUUUUUGGCCAUUUUUCCGCUGGGGGGUGUUGGCGCCCCGACCUUCGGGUCUCAUUUUUGCAGGCGGCUGUGCCCGUGGCCUAUUUUUGGCACACGGAGGCUGCUCGCAAAGUCUGGGGCAGUUCCGAGUCCGGCGGACGAACUUCGCCCACGCCCCCCACCAAGGCUAUAGCACACCCGUUUCUUGGCCAUUUUUCCGCUGGGGGGUGUUGGCGCCCCGACCUUCGGGCGCUCAUUUUUGGGCGCAGCUGUGCCCGUGGCCUAUUUUUGGCACACGUAGGCCGCCCGCAAAGUCUGGGGACAUUCCGAGUCUGGCGGACGAACUUCGCCCACGCCCCCCGCCAACGCUAUAGCCCACCCGUUUUUUGGCCAUUUUUCCGCUGGGGGGUGUUGGAACCCGACCUUCGGGAGCUCAUUUUUGGGCGCGGCUGUGCCCGUGGUCUAUUUUUGGCACACGGAGGCCGCCCGCAAAGUGUGGGGCCAUUCUGAGUCCGGCGGACGAACUUCGCCCACGCCCCCCACCCUGGCUAUAGCCCACCCGUUUUUCGGCCAUUUUUCCGAUGGGGGGUGUUGGCGCCCCGACCUUCGGGAGCUCAUUUUUGGGCGCGGCUGUGCCCGUGGUCUAUUUUUGGCACAGGGAGGCCGCCCGCAAAGUCUGGGGCCAUUCCGAGUCCGGCGGACGAACUUCGCCCACGCCCCCCACCAAGGCUAUAGCCCACCCGUUUUUUGGCCAUUUUUCCGCUGGGGGGUGUUGGCGCCCCGACCUUCGGGCGCUCAUUUUUGGGCGCGGCAGUGCCCGUGGCUUAUUUUUGCCACACGGAGGCCGCCUGCAAAGUCUGGGGCCAUUCCGAGUCCGGCGGACGAACUUCGCCCACGCCCCCCGCCAAGGCUAUAGCACACCCGUUUCUUGGCCAUUUUUCCGCCGGGGGGUGUUGGCGCCCCGACCUUCGGGCGCUCAUUUUUGGGCGCGGCUGUGCCCGUGGCCUAUUUUUGGCACACGGAGGCCGCCCGCAAAGUCUGGGGCCAUUCCGAGUCCGGCGGACGAACUUCGCCCACGCCCCCCGCCAAGGCUAUAGCCCACCGGUUUUUUGGCCAUUUUUCCGCUGGGGGGUGUUGGCGCCCCGACCUUCGGGCGCUCAUUUUUGGGCGCGGCUGUGCCCGUGGCCUAUUUUUGGCACACGGAGGCCGCCCGCAAAGUUUGGGGCCAUUCCGAGUCCGGCGGACGAACUUCGCCCACCCCCCCCGCCAAGGCUAUAGCCCACCCGUUUUUUGCCCAAUUUUCCGCUGGGGGGUGUUGGCGCCCCGACCUUCGGGUGCUAAUUUUUGGACGCGGCUGUGCCCGUGGUUUAUUUUUGGCACACGGAGGCCGCCCGCAAAGUCUGGGCCCAUUCCGAGUCCGGCGGACGAACAUCGCCCACGCCCCCCACCAAGGAUAUAGCACACCCGUUUCUUGGCCAUUUUUCCGCUGGGGGGUGUUGGCGCCCCGACCUUCGGGCGCUCAUUUUUGGGCGCGGCUGUGCCCGUGGCCUAUUUUUGGCACACGGAGGCCGCCCGCAAAGUCUGAUGCCAUUCCGAGGCCGGUGGACGAACUUCACCCACGCCCCCCACCAUGGCUAUAGCCCACCCGUUUUUUGGCCAUUUUUCCGCUGGCGGGUCUUGGGACCACGACCUUCGGGGGCUAUUUUUUGGGCGCGGCUGUGCACGUGGCCUAUUUUUGGCACACAGAGGCAGCCCGCCAAGUCUGGUACCAUUCCGAGUCCCGCGGACGAACUUCGCCCACGCCCCCCACCAAGGCUAUAGCCCACCCGUUUUUUGGCCAUUUUUCCGCUGGGGGGUCUUGGGACCCCGACCUUCGGGGGCUGGUUUUUGGGCGCGGCUGUGACCGUGGCCUAUUUUUGGCACACGGAGGCCUCCCGCCAAGUCUGGUGCCAUUCCGAGUCCCGCGGACGAACUUCGCCCAAGCCCCCCACCAAGGCUAUAGCCCACCCGUUUUUUGGCCAUUUUUCCGCUGGGGGGUCUUGGGACCCCGACCUUCGGGGCCUGUUUUUUAGGCGCGGCUGUGCCCGUGGCCUAUUUUUGGCACACGGAGGCCUACCGCCAAGUCUGGUGCCAUUCCAUGUC
rnacentral:lncRNA from 1 species